CCGUGGACACUGCCCACGGUGCACCACGGCCACACCCAUAUAAGCUACACCCGACCUCUUCUCUAGCCUCUCCUCGCUCUCCCUCUCCCCCACGAACCUCCCAGACAACAUCCCUCUCCCUCCCAUGCUUUCUUUCCCUCUCCAUAGCCGCCAUGGUCGCCGUCUGCCUCCGCCCGACUCCGUCCAACCAGAGCCUCCCCUCCUCUCCUGUGACCACCAGGAGAAGUGUCGCAGGCCAGCGGAGCCCCCCCCCCCCCCCCCCCCCCGCUCCUUCUCCCCCUUGCCCUUGUGACCACGGCGUUGCGCCUAUCCACUCCAGAUGCCGCCCACCGUCGCCAGGGUAGCAGUCGCCCCAGAUCCUCCCAGCCUGCGCGAAGCCCCUGGAUGGAAGCGGCUCGGCAUCCCGAGUCCGUCGGUGCACCGGACACCACCGGGGACGGCCGGAGUCGCCCGGGAUCAACGUCGGCGUGUGCUCGGCCUCACCUCCCCUGUCGCUCCUCUGCCUCAGGCGCGAGGUAGGGGACGACCACCCCGCCAGCUGGCAGGGGGCCCGCCUGUCAGCAGCAGAGGCGACCGAGCCGGCCCACGAGUCGGGUUAAGUGGACACGGCUUCGCGCGAAUCCGCUUGCCCCGCUGGCUGGCGCACUCACGUAAUGCGCCUUCGGCGUCACCACCUCCCUCGCGCAGCUAAGCCACUGGGCUGAGCCCAGUAGGCGCUGUUUAGCUGUGCUUCGCCCAGUGCGCUUUAUAAGGCAUGGAAGAACAGGAGUUCGAAGAAGAGUUCUUUGGAGACGAACAUGUGAACUAGGACGUUUCCCAGUCAGAAUGCCUGUAGGGUUAAGGCAGAUGGCAUGGGUUCUACUUAUCGACGAAGAUUUCCGCUGCUUAAGUUUAUUUGGUAUUCAGCCUUGUGGUUUUAUCUAUGUAAGACUUGACCAUAAUGGUCAUAAUUUGUGUAAGAAGGUAUGUAUGGACGUAGGACUCUUGUUAUUCAGCUUCUGUGUGUUCAGUGAGCAUUGAUCUCUGGGAUCACUGUACACGUGCAUUCGGUGAUCACGACUUAUGUGUCGGGGUCCCCACAAAUGAUGAGUAAAAUGAAUUUCUA